UAGGGAAUCUUGCGCAAUGGGCGAAAGCCUGACGCAGCAACGCCGCGUGCGGGAAGAAGGCUCUCGGGUUGUAAACCGCUUUCAGUAGGAACGAAAUUGACGGUACCUGCAGAAGAAGGUGCGGCCAACUACGUGCCAGCAGCCGCGGUGACACGUAGGCACCAAGCGUUGUCCGGAUUUAUUGGGCGUAAAGAGCUCGUAGGCGGUUCAGUAAGUCGGGUGUGAAAACUCAGGGCUCAACCCUGAGCUGCCACCCGAUACUGCUGUGACUUGAGUCUGGUAGGGGAGUGGGGAAUUCCUGGUGUAGCGGUGAAAUGCGCAGAUAUCAGGAGGAACACCGGUGGCGAAGGCGCCACUCUGGGCCACGACUGACGCUGAGGAGCGAAAGCAUGGGUAGCAAACAGG
rnacentral:rRNA from 1 species